rnacentral:lncRNA from 1 species
UUUUACUGGUUUCAUCCAUUGAACCGUGACCAUACUGGGGCACUUUUUUCAAUUGUUUCAGUCAGUUAUACCAGCCCCAGUACUUACCUCAGUCUGGUACUCAAUAUUAUUGAUCUAUAGUUGUCGAGCAGCUAAGUCACACACACACACAAUGGGCUUACACGCACACACACACAAUGGGCUUACGCACUGUUUUCUCUACUAACAGAAGACACUGGAUCAGGUACAACGAAAUGUGCUCAAGCCCAGAGCCUCACUGUUGUGAAGCAACCGUCCUACCACAUGGCUACGUCUGCACACACCUUAAACACAAUGUGUGAAGCAGGAAAGAAGUCGAGUUUUCCUUUGAGACAAUUCUUUAAUACUGACAACAAAAAAAGUGAGAAAGAGAGAGACACACACACACCAGUGUAGCAGUUUCAAUUCCAAUCUCGCAUAGUGGUAUACAGGUACAAGAAAGAAUGAGAACAUAAAUCUAAGAAGGGCAGAAAGUAGGAUGAUGAGUUGUUGAGAAAAAAAUAAUUCCCUAAAGCCUUCAAGGUGCUGCCCCUGCAUGGCCACAAUCAAAUGACUGAAAUAAGUGAAAGAUAAAAGAUGCUAUCAAUGAGAGAAAGAUGUCAGAUAAUGCUACAGAAAGUAGAAACAACUGUUGGUUGUAAAGACGACAAAGGACUUAGUGAUUCUUAAGCAACAGGCCUGUCACCCAGUUGUUUCCCAACUGGUUUUAUUUCCACAGUAAUUCAAGGUGCAGGUAUGACUGUGAUAAGAAGCUUGCUUCCCAAUGACG